rnacentral:rRNA from 1 species
UACGUAGGGUGCAAGCGUUACCCGGAAUUAUUGGGCGUAAAGAGCUCGUAGGCGGUUUGUCGCGUCUGCUGUGAAAACUGGAGGCUCAACCUCCAGCCUGCAGUGGGUACGGGCAGACUAGAGUGCGGUAGGGGAGAUUGGAAUUCCUGGUGUAGCGGUGGAAUGCGCAGAUAUCAGGAGGAACACCGAUGGCGAAGGCAGAUCUCUGGGCCGUAACUGACGCUGAGGAGCGAAAGCAUGGGGAGCGAACAGG